CGACCUCGGGAGCUAGCACAGGUGCUGUCGAUGGCUGUCGGUCAGCUCGUGUCGUGAGAUGUUCGGUUAAGUCCGCUAACGAGCGCAACCCUCGCUGUGUGUUAUAUGUGUCACAUGGGACUGCCGGCCUUAAGCCGGAGGAAGGUGAGGAUGAUGUCAAGUCAGCAUGACCUUUAUAUCCAGGGCUACACACACGCUACAAUGGUCUGUACAAUGGGUAGCCAAGCCGCGAGGCGGAGCCAAUCCUGAAAGCAGGCCUCAGUUCAGAUUGCAGUCUGCAACUCGACUGCAUGAAGCCGGAGUUGCUAGUAACCGCAGGUCAGCCAUACUGCGUUGCAUACGUUCCCGGGGCUU
rnacentral:rRNA from 1 species